ACUCCUACGGGAGGCAGCAGUGGGGAAUAUUGCACAAUGGGCGCAAGCCUGAUGCAGCCAUGCCGCGUGUAUGAAGAAGGCCUUCGGGUUGUAAAGUACUUUCAGCAGUGAGGAAGGUGGGUAUGUUAAUAGCAUACUCAUUUGACGUUAGCUGCAGAAGAAGCACCGGCUAACUCCGUGCCAGCAGCCGCGGUAAUACGGAGGGUGCGAGCGUUAAUCGGAAUUACUGGGCGUAAAGCGCAUGCAGGUGGUUUGUUAAGUCAGAUGUGAAAGCCCGGGGCUCAACCUCGGAAUUGCAUUUGAAACUGGCAAACUAGAGUACUGUAGAGGGGGUUAGAAUUUCAGGUGUAGCGGUGAAAUGCGUAGAGAUCUGAAGGAAUACCGGUGGCGAAGGCGGCCCCUGGACAGAUACUGACACUCAGAUGCGAAAGCGUGGGAGCAAACAGGAUUACGAU
rnacentral:rRNA from 1 species